rnacentral:rRNA from 1 species
CAGUCGAGCGGAUGACGGGAGCUUGCUCCUUGAUUCAGCGGCGGACGGGUGAGUAAUGCCUAGGAAUCUGCCUGGUAGUGGGGGACAACGUUUCGAAAGGAACGCUAAUACCGCAUACGUCCUACGGGAGAAAGCAGGGGACCUUCGGGCCUUGCGCUAUCAGAUGAGCCUAGGUCGGAUUAGCUAGUUGGUGGGGUAAUGGCUCACCAAGGCGACGAUCCGUAACUGGUCUGAGAGGAUGAUCAGUCACACUGGAACUGAGACACGGUCCAGACUCCUACGGGAGGCAGCAGUGGGGAAUAUUGGACAAUGGGCGAAAGCCUGAUCCAGCCAUGCCGCGUGUGUGAAGAAGGUCUUCGGAUUGUAAAGCACUUUAAGUUGGGAGGAAGGGCAGUAAGUUAAUACCUUGCUGUUUUGACGUUACCGACAGAAUAAGCACCGGCUAACUCUGUGCCAGCAGCCGCGGUAAUACAGAGGGUGCAAGCGUUAAUCGGAAUUACUGGGCGUAAAGCGCGCGUAGGUGGUUUGUUAAGUUGGAUGUGAAAGCCCCGGGCUCAACCUGGGAACUGCAUCCAAAACUGGCAAGCUAGAGUACGGUAGAGGGUGGUGGAAUUUCCUGUGUAGCGGUGAAAUGCGUAGAUAUAGGAAGGAACACCAGUGGCGAAGGCGACCACCUGGACUGAUACUGACACUGAGGUGCGAAAGCGUGGGGAGCAAACAGGAUUAGAUACCCUGGUAGUCCACGCCGUAAACGAUGUCAACUAGCCGUUGGAAUCCUUGAGAUUUUAGUGGCGCAGCUAACGCAUUAAGUUGACCGCCUGGGGGAGUACGGCCGCAAGGUUAAAACUCAAAUGAAUUUGACGGGGGCCCGCACAAGCGGUGGAAGCAUGUGGUUUAAUUCGAAGCAACGCGAAGAACCUUACCAGGCCUUGACAUGCAGAGAACUUUCCAGAGAAUGGAUUGGUGCCUUCGGGACUCUUGACACAGUGCUUGCAUGGCUGUCGUCAGCUCGUGUCGUGAAAUUGUUUGGGUUAAGUCCCGUAACGAGCGCAACCCUUGUCCUUAGUUACCAGCACCGUUAUGGUGGGCACUCUUAAGGAAAACUGCCGGUGACAACCCGGAGGAAAGGGGGGGGAAUAACGUCCAGUCAUCAAGGGCCCUUACGGCCGGGGGUACCCCCUGGUUACAAUGGUGGGGUAACAAAAAGGUUGCCCCACCCCCCGAGUUGGAGUUAUUCCCACAAAACCAAUCGAAAUUCCCGGAUGGCACUUUGGCACUCCCUCCGGGCGGGAGAUCCGAAUCCCUUGAAAUCCGAAAACCAAAAGGUACCGCGUGGUAAA